AAGAUAGAAUGUAGCUUCAGCAAACAAAUUGGAAUGAUACAGAGAUUACCAUGGCCCCUGCACAGGGAUGACACGCAAAUUUGUGAAGUGUUCCCUGUUUUU